rnacentral:tRNA from 1 species
GGGGAUGUAGUCCAAUGGUAGAGCAUGUGCUUAGCAUGCACAAGAUCCUGGGUUCAAUCCCCAGCACAACCA